CUCCUGAACUGGCUUAAAUAAAUAUAGUACGUGGAAUUUUAUGUGCCUUGCUCUAUUUUCCUACCUACCCCCCCAACAUAAAGGAAGACUCAAGCCUACAAAAUCAAACCAAGGUUAAACCCAGAUGUGGCCAGCGGCACCCAACUUUAGAGUAGUUCAUGCAGUAGUUCUCUGGUGUUCAGGGUGCCACAAGGCUGCAUCCCCCAAAGUGAACUGUCAGUGGAUAACAGGUGAUGCACGGGACACGGCCCAGGCUGGAAGGCAGGGCAACCCUCCCCACUAAAGGGAUGAUUAGCUCUUCUAUCACCACCACCCCCUCGCCCUCCAGCAUUCAGAGUCAAGUCAUCAUUACCCUUCCAUUAAAAGGAGGUGCGAGCCCCCCUUCUUAAAGCCCGCACCCCUAAAGAUGAGGGGCUGCUCCCUCUUCCUCCCCACCCCGGCAAAGGGGGUGGGUCUGGGUGCAGAUCCAUCCCCCCAUUUCCAUUCGGAGCAUUAAAAACCCGCGCACGACGAUGCCCACCGGCCCGAGUGCGUGACCUGAGCGGGAGGUGAAGGAGAAGGGGAGGACGAGAGCCCCCAAACCCAUCUCCCUUACCCCCUGGGCAGGAUGCGCUUUUUCGAGAACAUCUUCCUAUUGAUGGUAAUCUAUGAAGAAAGUCCCCUUGCCAUCAUUCAGCUCCACUGGAUGGACCUGGGACCUCUCCAGUUCACAAUGUCACCUCCAAACCUGGACAAGAGCACUCUGUGGUUACCUAUUCAGGAAAAGAAACACAAAGUGGAGAAGGCAGCCAGGAACCCAGGCUCAAGCUUCCCUAGUUCAGUUUACAUUCCACCGGGGAGCAGCCAUGCUGAGGUGGGGGAAAGUCUAUUGUAAGAAAGAGUUUACUUGCCACCAUGGAAGAGUCAGAAAUUGAGACAGAAGCUGUCUCUCUAAUUGACACAGAGCUCCUCCUGAUGGGGUUGGGAUUUAGACCCCAGAAAGGAAAAACCCUGGACUUUCCCAUUUGGCCAAAUCUCUGGCAUUUCCCUGAGGCUAUAAUACCAUCAACUGGCCUUUGAUUGUGGCUACACCCAAUCUCCCAAUUCUGUUAAUCUAGCUUGGCCUUCCUUUGUUUUACCUCUCUAUGGAUGGCCCCCAGCCAUUUCCCA
rnacentral:lncRNA from 1 species